rnacentral:rRNA from 1 species
UUCCUACGGGAGGCAGCAGUGGGGAAUAUUGCACAAUGGGGGAAACCCUGAUGCAGCGACGCCGCGUGAGUGAAGAAGUAUUUCGGUAUGUAAAGCUCUAUCAGCAGGAACGAGACAAGACGGUACCUGACUAAGAAGCCCCGGCUAACUACGUGCCAGCAGCCGCGGUAAUACGUAGGGGGCAAGCGUUAUCCGGAUUUACUGGGUGUAAAGGGAGCGUAGACGGCAGCGCAAGUCUGGAGUGAAAUGCCGGGGCUCAACCCCGGAACUGCUUUGGAAACUGUGCAGCUAGAGUGCGGGAGAGG